ACUCCUACGGGAGGCAGCAGUGGGGAAUAUUGCACAAUGGGCGCAAGCCUGAUGCAGCCAUGCCGCGUGUGUGAAGAAGGCCUUCGGGUUGUAAAGCACUUUCAGUAGGGAGGAAGGUAGUGUAGUUAACACCUGCACUAUUUGACGUUACCUACAGAAGAAGCACCGGCUAACUCCGUGCCAGCAGCCGCGGUAAUACGGAGGGUGCGAGCGUUAUCCGGAUUUAUUGGGUUUAAAGGGUCCGUAGGCGGGUUAAUAAGUCAGUGGUGAAAUCCCAUCGCUUAACGAUGGAACUGCCAUUGAUACUGUUAGUCUUGAAUGAGGGUGCAGUGGUUGGAAUGUGUAGUGUAGCGGUGAAAUGCAUAGAUAUUACACAGAACACCGAUUGCGAAGGCAGAUCACUAACCCUAAAUUGACGCUGAGGGGACGAAAGCGUGGGGAGCGAACAGGAUUAGAUACCCUGGUAGACAUCA
rnacentral:rRNA from 1 species